UAGCAAUGGAAUCUUAAAUUAGAACAGUUGUUCUUCAGGUUUAGGCACUUGUUCUACAUGAAAAGAGUACAGUAAGACGCAAGAAUAUAAUACUUAAAAAUAGAAAAUGAGCUCAUAGACCUUACCACAUUCUUGGUUCGGGACCAGUACAGAACAAGGCGUUCCCAGUCAUCGUCCAGUAAAUGUGUCUCAGGAGAACGUAAGGGAAUUUGAUGAGUUUCUUUGCCGGUGAAGUACGUUUUCUUCAGGUAAUUCCGAUACUGCCACCAAGCAUUCUUGAAGAUAGCAGAGGUAUUAGCACAGGUUACCUCAUCCUGAGUUUCCAAAUCGGUCCUUCUCUAUAGAGAAAAAUGGGAAAAUUUGCUGUAUUAUAACCAUCAUGGAGGUAGGAUGUAUGGGACGAAGCAAAGUAAUUGCCAUGAA
rnacentral:rRNA from 1 species